rnacentral:ncRNA from 1 species
CAGAAAGUGCAUCUAAGUCCGGAUUGGAGUCUGCAACUCGACUCCAUGAAGUCGGAAUCGCUAGUAAUCGCAAAUCAGAAUGUUGCGGUGAAUACGUUCCCGGGCCUUGUACACACCGCCCGUCACACCAUGGGAGUGGGUUGUACCAGAAGUAGAUAGCUUAACGGAAACGGGGGCGUUUACCACGGUAUGAUUCAUGACUGGGGUGAAGUCGUAACAAGGUAACCGUAGGGGAACCUGCGGUUGGAUCACCUCCUUA